UAUCUCUGUAGAGUCUGCAUAUCAAUAAGCGGAGGAAAAGAAACUAACAAGGAUUCCCUUAGUAACGGCGAGUGAAGCGGGAAGAGCUCAAAUUUGAAAUCUUCAAGGUUCUACCUUGACGAAUUGUAGUUUAAAGAAGUGUUUUCUGUUAGAUGAGUAGCAAAAGUUCCUUGGAAUGGGACAUCAUAGAGGGUGAGAAUCCCGUAUUUGGUUAUUCAUUCUAGCUUUGUGAUACACUUUCAAAGAGUCGGAUUGUUUGGGAAUGCAGUCCAAAAUGGGUGGUAAAUUUCAUCUAAAGCUAAAUAUUGGCGAGAGACCGAUAGCGAACAAGUACCGUGAGGGAAAGAUGAAAAGAACUUUGAAAAGAGAGUUAAACAGUACGUGAAAUUGUCAAAAGGGAAGCGUUUGACACCAGUGUUGUUUUUUCCGAAAAUCAAUUACAAAUGGCUUGAUUUUGUGUUGUAUUGACCUUAAUCAGCUUUCUUCACCUUUUUCGAUGUCUUUCUUAAUGCACUUUUCGGUUAACAAGUCGACAUCAGUUUCUUUUGUUGUAAAAAGGUCAUUGGAAGGUGGCUUUCUUUUCGGAGAAAGUGUUUAUAGCCUUUGACUCCUGCAAUCGGAGAGACUGAGGUCUGCAGCGUAGAUCCUUCUGGAUUAGAUUCAUUUGUGCUAAGUUACAACCGUUUAUAGACAACUUGUUGACUAUAUUCGAUCCUGUAGCUUACUCGCUUAUGUAAUUUUACCUACGCUUAGGAUGUUGACUGAUAUGUAGUCGUA
rnacentral:rRNA from 1 species